AAAUUGAAGAGUUUGAUCAUGGCUCAGAUUGAACGCUGGCGGCAGGCCUAACACAUGCAAGUCGAACGGUAACAGGAAGCAGCUUGCUGCUUUGCUGACGAGUGGCGGACGGGUGAGUAAUGUCUGGGAAACUGCCUGAUGGAGGGGGAUAACUACUGGAAACGGUAGCUAAUACCGCAUAACGUCGCAAGACCAAAGAGGGGGACCUUCGGGCCUCUUGCCAUCGGAUGUGCCCAGAUGGGAUUAGCUAGUAGGUGGGGUAACGGCUCACCUAGGCGACGAUCCCUAGCUGGUCUGAGAGGAUGACCAGCCACACUGGAACUGAGACACGGUCCAGACUCCUACGGGAGGCAGCAGUGGGGAAUAUUGCACAAUGGGCGCAAGCCUGAUGCAGCCAUGCCGCGUGUAUGAAGAAGGCCUUCGGGUUGUAAAGUACUUUCAGCGGGGAGGAAGGGAGUAAAGUUAAUACCUUUGCUCAUUGACGUUACCCGCAGAAGAAGCACCGGCUAACUCCGUGCCAGCAGCCGCGGUAAUACGGAGGGUGCAAGCGUUAAUCGGAAUUACUGGGCGUAAAGCGCACGCAGGCGGUUUGUUAAGUCAGAUGUGAAAUCCCCGGGCUCAACCUGGGAACUGCAUCUGAUACUGGCAAGCUUGAGUCUCGUAGAGGGGGGUAGAAUUCCAGGUGUAGCGGUGAAAUGCGUAGAGAUCUGGAGGAAUACCGGUGGCGAAGGCGGCCCCCUGGACGAAGACUGACGCUCAGGUGCGAAAGCGUGGGGAGCAAACAGGAUUAGAUACCCUGGUAGUCCACGCCGUAAACGAUGUCGACUUGGAGGUUGUGCCCUUGAGGCGUGGCUUCCGGAGCUAACGCGUUAAGUCGACCGCCUGGGGAGUACGGCCGCAAGGUUAAAACUCAAAUGAAUUGACGGGGGCCGCACAAGCGGUGGAGCAUGUGGUUUAAUUCGAUGCAACGCGAAGAACCUUACCUGGUCUUGACAUCCACGGAAGUUUUCAGAGAUGAGAAUGUGCCUUCGGGAACCGUGAGACAGGUGCUGCAUGGCUGUCGUCAGCUCGUGUUGUGAAAUGUUGGGUUAAGUCCCGCAACGAGCGCAACCCUUAUCCUUUGUUGCCAGCGGUCCGGCCGGGAACUCAAAGGAGACUGCCAGUGAUAAACUGGAGGAAGGUGGGGAUGACGUCAAGUCAUCAUGGCCCUUACGACCAGGGCUACACACGUGCUACAAUGGCGCAUACAAAGAGAAGCGACCUCGCGAGAGCAAGCGGACCUCAUAAAGUGCGUCGUAGUCCGGAUUGGAGUCUGCAACUCGACUCCAUGAAGUCGGAAUCGCUAGUAAUCGUGGAUCAGAAUGCCACGGUGAAUACGUUCCCGGGCCUUGUACACACCGCCCGUCACACCAUGGGAGUGGGUUGCAAAAGAAGUAGGUAGCUUAACCUUCGGGAGGGCGCUUACCACUUUGUGAUUCAUGACUGGGGUGAAGUCGUAACAAGGUAACCGUAGGGGAACCUGCGGUUGGAUCACCUCCUUACCUUAAAGAAGC
rnacentral:rRNA from 1 species